rnacentral:rRNA from 1 species
UAGGGAAUUUUCGUCAAUGGGAGCAACCCUGAACGAGCAAUGCCGCGUGAGCGAAGAAGGUCUUCGGAUUGUAAAGCUCUGUUGCCGGGGAAAAAGGAAGGAAAGAGGAAAUGCUUUUCUUUGGAUGGUACCCGGCCAGAAAGUCACGGCUAACUACGUGCC